GUCGACGAAAGGGACGGCACGGAUGCGGACGAGUCGAUGAAGGCGAAGACAGCCAGGAGGAGGGCUGCCUGCCAGGGGCUCUUCAUAGAAUCAUAGUGUUGGAAGGGACCCAAGGGUCAUCUAGUCCAACCCCCUGCAACACACCUUCGCAGGGUCCAGGUGAGCCACAGGUGCCCUGCUUGCCUUUCCAUUUUGGGGGCUUUGCUUGACAGGACAACAGUGCUGUCUGCCGGAUGCCUGGAUUCAUAGCUGUCAACUUUUCCCUUUUCUUGCGAGAAAUCCUAUUCGAAAUAAAGAAAUUCCCCUUUAAAAAAGGGAAAGCUAUGCCUGGGUUCCUUUGCUCUUCCUGUUACCCCCCGCGAGUGCUCCAGGGAGUGGUUUGCAAGUCCAGGAGUGGAAUAGGGGCUUGGGAGGGAAGGGGCAUCCCGUCCUCAGUGUGACUCAGGCAGAGCUGGGCUUCCUCCUCCCGUGACUCCCAGCCCUCUUGUUGGGUGCCAGGUCAUGUGCUGGUGGAGUUGAGAAGGGAGCAAAAGCUUUCGGUUGGCAUCUGGCAGAAGAAAAAGGGGAAGGAAGGAGCCCGUGGCUUCUUCAGCAUCAGCUAAUGACGAGGCCAGAGACGCGGGUGGCGCUGUGGGUUAAACCACAGAGCCUAGGACUUGCUUAUCAGUAGGUCAGCGGUUCAAAUCCCGUGAUGAGGUGAGCUCCCUCAGUCCCUGCUCCUGCCAAUCUAGCAGUUUGAAAGCACGUCAAAGUGCAAGUAGAUAAAUAGGUACCGCUCCGGCGAGAAGGUAAAUGGCGUUUCCGUGCACUGCUCUGGUUCGCCAGAAGCGGCUUAGUCAUGCUGGCCAUAUGACCGGCUGUAUGCCGGCUCCCUCGGCCAGUAAAGCAAGAUGAGCGCCGCAACCCCAGAGUCGGCCACGACUGGACCUAAUGGUCAGGGGUCCCUUUACCUUUUAAUGAUGAGGCCACAAGACAGACACAGAUGCCCAGCCCAAAGCCUGAGCCAAUGAGAGGCUGCCAGGUCUUAACUGCCUCCAGAUGUUUCGUUGUACAUAAAACAGUAUUGCACAGUUGCAAAAAGGGCUCAGAAAAGGACUGCCCAAUUUAUCAAGGGGAUGGAGGAAAGGUUACCACAUUUCAGAAUAUUGCCAAAGAACGAUGUCAAUCAACAUUUGAUGAUCUCCUUCUAUGGUCCAGAAUAGAAAGUGUCCUUUCAUACUUUAUCACGGUGUGGUACACUGGUUUGACAUCAACUGAUAGGAAGUGCCUACAGAGGGUGGUGAAUACAGCACAAGAUAUUAUGGGCUGUCCCGUGAAUCCGCUGGAUAAUCACGGAAGAAGGUUGCCUCAGGAGAGUGAGGAAAAUUCUCAGGGAUGAUUCACACCCUGGCCGGCACUUUCUUGAUCUCCUGCCCUCGGGCAGAAGAUAUAGAACCAUGAUUAGUCGCACCAACAGGGUAAAGAGCAGCUUCUAGCCGUGGGCUGUUAGGCUGCUGAAUGAAAAGAUAACAACAGGGCAACUGACUUUCGGGUUUGGUGGGAGUGCGAAUUAAGAAAUUUUUACUAAGAGAGCUGAGUGGGGGGUGCUCGUGUAAUCUCACUGUAUACAAGGUGUACAAGUGACAAUAAAGUAUUUCAAAGUAUUUGAAUUCCUCCUUCCAGCGGGUGGCAGACAUGGUUUGGGGGUGGGUGGGUAGGGAAGGUAAGUUAGGGUUGCCAUAUGUCUGGAAUUUCCCGGACAUAGCCGGAAUACUGCAGGCGGAAGCAAUGUCCGGACGGGAAUCGCCGAAGGGUCUGUGAAAAUCUGGACACUUAAAAAUAGCUCAAAAACUCCCUCUUUUUUGUUUUGCCCAAUAAUUUUGGGCUAAAAAAGCUCAACAUUUUUUGUGUUCGGUUUUUCACUUUUAGAAAUAUGGCAACCCUACGCUAGGACUCGGAGGUGUUCAGUGAAGUUGAAUGUUGGAAGGUUCAGGACAGACCAGAGAAAGGACUUUUCCCACACGGCCCAUAGUUAACCUGUGAAAUUCGCUCCCGCAAGUGACGGCCACCAACUAGCAUGGCUUUAAAAGAAGAUUAGACACAUAUCUCCAGGGCUGUCACAUGGAAGAGGGAACAAGCUUGUUUCCUCCUGCUCCAGAGGGUAGGACUCGAACCAGUGGCUUCAAGUUACAAGAAAGGAGAUUGCGACUAAACAUUAGGAAAAAACUUUCUGGCGAUAAGAGCUGUUCGACAGCAGAAUGGACUCCCUUGGGAGGUUGGGGACUCUCCUUCCUUGGAUAUUUUUCAGCGGAGGUCAGCUGGCCAUCUGCCAAGGAUGCUUUAGCUGAGAUUCCUGCAUUGCAGGGGGUUGGACUAGAUGACCCUGGGGACCCUUUCCAACUCUAUAAUUCUUUGAAGGACCCUCCAUUCUCCACCCCAUCCUGGUGCAAAAAGGAAUCAUGUGAGAACAUAGAUGGCUCCCAAAGUCCAGUGUCCAAUGGGACUGCAGAGGAGCUGUAAAGAGACUCGCAUGUUGUUUUUAUUGCCCUCUCAGUCUCAUGCAGCUGGAGUGGUCAACUGGCAAGCUGGGGUGGGCAGUUGCAGACCAGUAUAUGGUGUUUGAUAGGUGAUAAUAAUAAUAAUAAUAAUAAUAAUAAUAAUAAUAAUUGGAUUUAUACCCUGCCCAUCUGGCUAGGUUUCCCCAGCCACUCUGGGUGGCUCACAGCACGUAUAAAAGCAUAGCAUCCAAAUAAAGUCAGAUCCCUGUCUUUGUGGAAAUGCAUCCAGUUAUGUGCAGAGCAGUGCGGCCUGCAAAUUGUCCCCCCAAAAUAGUGACAGCCCGAAAGAUCCCAGAUAGAUGGCUCAAAGUGUGGAGAGGCGAUUGUAGAAACACAGAAAGAUUGUUUUGACAACUGAAGAAGGAAGCAACAGAUGGUGUCAUGACUCAAAUCUUUCAGGCGCCUGAGGAAACUGCACAUCAAUUUCUCUCUCUCACACACACACAAUUAAGUAAUACGGGGCAGAAUCCUGUGGGAAUCUUCUCUAAAUGAACAAUAUGCUUGCACAAUUCACUUCAACGGGGCUUCCCUCAGAGAACGUUCCUCCAUUAUCAGAACUAUCAGUCUUGCAGCGUUGAGUCAAACAUUACAUAACCAUACAGACGGGUGGGUGCUACUCACAGUCAACUCAGCAGACUGCGGUUUCUUUCAGACAACCUGUUUAUUGAGCAAAUAUUCACCAUCAUCUAUUAUUAUUAUUACUAAUCAUUUACUAUUAUUAUUUACAUUUGUAUACCAGCCACCCAGCCAUGUUCUCCAGGUGCUUUACUUAUUACAAUAAAACACAAAACGCAAUUUAUAAUAAAAAUCCGGAAACCGAAACAAAGGAGCUCGGUCAAAACAAGAACCCCAGCGGAAAUCUGCACAAAACACAGCAGCUAACACAAUUUAAACCCAGCAUAGAACACAUCAAAUGGAGAACAAAUGGUUCAAGUCAAUCAAUAUUCCUUCAGAAGCAGAGACUUAUAGCUAUAAGCACCCAGUUCAAAUCUUGAUUGAGCUGGGAAUAGGGUUUGCUUGUUAGUCUUUAUUUUAUUUUAAAAUAAUUUUUUUUAUUCGCUUUCUUUUCUGUCAUUGCAUACAUCUCAUAUCAAUAACAUACAUAUUACACCUCUUCACCCCUUCCCUCCUGGGCUUCCCUCAGCUUCCAUUUCUGGUUUGUUACUCCCUUAUUACAUACUGCUGUUUCUUAAAAUCCACUAUGUCAUUUCUUCAUUAUUUUAAAUGUUCUCUGUUAAUAAAGAUGUGAGUGUUUAUUUAAAUCCUGCCAUCAAGUCAAUGUUCUUUCUUUGAUUCUGCAAACAUAUUAUAAAAGGUUCCCACUCUUUUUCAAAACUCCUUUUCUC